rfam:Myotis davidii contig78428, whole genome shotgun sequence.
GGCGGUUCUCGGGUGACACGCUCCACCCCCCCCCCCUGGAAUCGGGCUCCCUCCUCUCUGGUUCUGGGGUACGUCACCUGAGAACCACC